GACGAACGCUGGCGGCAUGCCUAAUACAUGCAAGUCGAGCGAACAGAUGAAGUGCUUGCACUUCUGACGUUAGCGGCGAACGGGUGAGUAACACGUAAGGAAUCUACCCAUAAGCGGGGGAUAACAUUCGGAAACGGGUGCUAAUACCGCAUAAUAUCUUCUUCCGCAUGGAAGAAGAUUUGAAAGACGGCUCUGCUGUCACUUAUAGAUGACCUUGCGGUGCAUUAGUUAGUUGGUGGGGUAACGGCCUACCAAGACGAUGAUGCAUAGCCGACCUGAGAGGGUGAUCGGCCACAUUGGGACUGAGACACGGCCCAAAACUCCUACGGGAGGCAGCAGUAGGGAAUCUUCCGCAAUGGGCGAAAGCCUGACGGAGCAAUGCCGCGUGAGUGAAGAAGGCCUUCGGGUCGUAAAACGUCUGUUAUAAGAGAAGACAAAUUGUAGAGUAACUGCUACAGUCUUGACGGUAUCUUAUCAGAAAGCCACGGCUAACUACGUAG
rnacentral:rRNA from 1 species